GACCCACCCUGCAACAGCCCUUGUCUCCCUCCGCCCUUGCUUCCUUCUCACCCAUCUCACCACCAUCUGCCCAGGGGAGCCAGAUGUCCCAAAUUUUGGAGAGAAAAUAAUUGAGGCUCAUUUCCAGGACAGAGGGGCGAGCUGGGUCUGAAGAGCCAAGCAGAGAGGCUUCCCAAAAUCACCAGGUUGGGAGGGGUCAGAGAUGUGUGGCUGCCCCAGCUGUUCUGACUCUGCCCCAGCUUUUGGCUCCACCCCCUUAAAGCACCUUCAGAGGUUCCCAUGGCUACAGUAAACAAGUCUCCACUGCCUUGGCCAUGUGCUGUGUUCACCCCACUCCUGAUCUUGUUGGCCGCUCAGGGGCUGACAGCCCAGAUGUGCAGCUGUGGUGAGCAGAAACAGGGAGGAAUGGAGCCCCCAGCCAUUGUCAUCACUUCCCUGAUCUGCCUAAAUUCUGCCCAGCUGUCCGUGCAAAUGGUGUGCUGAUGACAUACGUAAGGACUCUAACUCCCCUCACGCAAUCUGCUCACCUCAAAGGGUAAAACAUUGGCUCACUCUAAUGUAAUAAAUGACACACAAGGUCA